UGGGAACAGGUGGUCCCAGGUCGUUUCCUGGCUAGACUUGCCUUGUCUGGCUCCUGCCCCUGAGUUGCACAGGGGAGGUGUGGUGGGGUCUUGCCUUCUGUGGAGAAGAUGCUUGCAUUCCCAGCCCAGGUUCCCAGCAAGCCCCAACCAUCUCCUUCUCCCUGCUGGUUGCCCCCUGGUCUCAGGAGGGGGCAGAUGGAUGCCUGUGUCAGGAGCCCCUCUCUCCCUCUCUUGGAGAGAGUCCUCAGUGCCCUCCCUUCUUGGGGGCUUUGUUUGGGAAGCUGGAUGAGCCUGGUCCAUGGAGAGUUUAAAAAGUCCUUUGGUGUUACCUGGUAAUGGGGCACAUCUCAGCCCAGAUAGGGUGGGAGGGAGCUGUGAAACACAGGGAGGGGGUUGCUUUCGGGUAUCUACUAGGAGUCAGGGUGAAGCCUAGAGAGGAUGAAAGAAGGGGAGGGGAUGGGGAGUGAUAAGAACCUAGGAUUUGAAUUCCCAGCCUGGCCAACCCUUGCAGCCAUGUCUUGGCCUCAAGUGGAACAAGGGCUCCUUGAGGCCAGCAGGGUUGGGGGAGUUGGGGUGGGCCUGAGCCUCUUUCUUGCUAGAGCUCUUGGUCCUCCCUGCCUCCACCACCCAUCCCUGCUCUGCAGAACCCCUGGGUGCUGAGUGGCAGGAGCCCCAGGGUUGUCUCUUCUGGGUAUGGCUGGCUGGGUCACUAACCUCUGUGAUCUGCUUCCUUCCCUUCCAGAUUAUGCGGAUCAAACCUCACCAAGGCCAGCACAUAGGAGAGAUGAGCUUCCUACAGCACAACAAAUGUGAAUGCAGACCAAAGAAAGAUAGAGCAAGACAAGAAAAAUGUGACAAGCCGAGGCGGUGAGCCGGGCAGGAGGAAGGAGCCUCCCUCAGGGUUUCGGGAACCAGAUCUCUCACCAGGAAAGACUGAUACAGAACGAUCGAUACAGAAACCACGCUGCCGCCACCACACCAUCACCAUCGACAACAGUCCUUAAUCCAGAAACCUGAAAUGAAGGAAGAGGAGACUCUGCGCAGAGCACUUUGGGUCCGGAGGGCGAGACUCCGGCAGAAGCAUUCCCGGGCGGGUGACCCAGCACGGUCCCUCUUGGAAUUGGAUUCGCCAUUUUAUUUUUCUUGCUGCUAAAUCACCGAGCCCGGAAGAUUAGAGAGUUUUAUUUCUGGGAUUCCUGUAGACACACCCACCCACAUACAUACAUUUAUAUAUAUAUAUUAUAUAUAUAUAAAAAUAAAUAUCUAUAUUUUAUAUAUAUAAAAUAUAUAUAUUCUUUUUUUAAAUUAACAGUGCUAAUGUUAUUGGUGUCUUCACUGGAUGUAUUUGACUGCUGUGGACUUGAGUUGGGAGGGGAAUGUUCCCACUCAGAUCCUGACAGGGAAGAGGAGGAGACGAAAGACUCUGGCAUGAUCUUUUUUUUUGUCCCACUUGGUGGGGCCAGGGUCCUCUCCCCUGCCCAGGAAUGUGCAAGGCCAGGGCAUGGGGGCAAAUAUGACCCACUUUUGGGAACACCGACAAACCCAGCCCUGGCGCUGAGCCUCUACCCCAGGUCAGACGGACAGAAAGACAGAUGACAGGUACAGGGAUGAGGACACUGGCUCUGACUAGGAGUUUGGGGAGCUUCAGGACAUUGCUGUGCUUUGGGGAUUCCCUCCACAUGCUGCAUGCGCAUCUCGCCCCCAGCGGCACUGCUUGGAAGAUUCAGGAGCCUGGGCGGCCUUCACUUAUCCUUACCUGCUUCUGAGUUGCCCAGGAGGCCGCUGGCAGAUGUCCCGGCGAAGAGAAGAGACACAUUGUUGGAAGAAGCAGCCCAUGACAGCUCCCCUUCCUGGGACUCACCCUCAUCCUCUUCCUGCUCCCCUUCCUGGGGUGCAGCCUGAAAGGACCUAUGUCCUCACACCAUUGAAACCACUAGUUCUGUCCCCCCAGGAGACCUGGUUGUGUGUGUGUGAGUGGUUGACCUUCCUCCAUCCCCUGGUCCUUCCCUUCCCUUCCCGAGGCACAGAGAGACAGGGCAGGAUCCACGUGCCCAUUGUGGAGGCAGAGAAAAGAGAAAGUGUUUUAUAUACGGUACUUAUUUAAUAUCCCUUUUUAAUUAGAAAUUAAAACAGUUAAUUUAAUUAAAGAGUAGGGUUUUUUUCAGUAUUCUUGGUUAAUAUUUAAUUUCAACUAUUUAUGAGAUGUAUCUUUUGCUCUCUCUCGCUCUCUUAUUUGUACUGGUUUUUGUAUAUAAAAUUCAUGUUUCCAAUCUCUCUCUCCCUGAUCGGUGACAGUCACUAGCUUAUCUUGAACAGAUAUUUAAUUUUGCUAACACUCAGCUCUGCCCUCCCUGAUCCCCUGGCUCCCCAGCACACAUUCCUUUGAAAUAAGGUUUCAAUAUACAUCUACAUACUAUAUAUAUAUUUGGCAACUUGUAUUUGUGUGUAUAUAUAUAUAUAUGUUUAUGUAUAUAUGUGAUUCUGAUAAAAUAGACAUUGCUAUUCUGUUUUUUAUAUGUAAAAACAAAACAAGAAAAAAUAGAGAAUUCUACAUACUAAAUCUCUCUCCUUUUUUAAUUUUAAUAUUUGUUAUCAUUUAUUUAUUGGUGCUACUGUUUAUCCGUAAUAAUUGUGGGGAAAAGAUAUUAACAUCACGUCUUUGUCUCUAGUGCAGUUUUUCGAGAUAUUCCGUAGUACAUAUUUAUUUUUAAACAACGACAAAGAAAUACAGAUAUAUCUU
rnacentral:sRNA from 1 species